AGGCUAUAUCUUACUGUAGUUCAAAUUGUAAUUAAGCUAUGUGUCUAGACUGGUUAUGUUGAAGUGAAGCUAUUUAAUAAGUGUUUUAAUAUGAUGUAUUAAACCACAUACUUUUUUCUAAGCAGCAACAUCAACAAAAACCACUACCGAUGAUGCUGAUGCCUUGGCCAGCAGAAUUGAGGUCCUGGUUGCAAGUAUAAAGAGACGCUCUCAGCGACUUUAUAAAGAUACAGACGGCAACAAAGCUCGUGCCCGGAUCCGGUGCAAGAUCAGGAAGGAGAAGGAGAUCCUAACCUUGGUUGUAGAGAGUUACAACAGAAUGGCUCCAAGUACAGAAAAUCUUGUUUCUGUAAACUCUGUUGGAGGAGAACGCUUGGCCAUGGCAGCUACCACACAGUGACUCUGUCGAUCUAAAGACCAAGAGAAGGGCAUUUGACAUUGUCAAUGCAAUAAGGAGGCUCCAAGAGGAGAAGAAGAUUGUUCUCAUUGAGAUGGACCACCAUUGGAGAGCUCUUCAAACCCGUGAAGGCCUGAAAGAGCUGUCCUGCCUGCUUUCCAGUGAGACAAUGCAAAAUUUGCCUUGGGUCCUAAGUGAAGAGGGGUUGGAGGUCUGCAGAGCACCAUCCUCAGAAAGCGGCAGAACAUCACAGAGAGGAAGUUGCAAGCGAGAGCCUGUUACCUUCAAGUUUUGUCUGGAGCAGAAAACAUGAAUUUCUUGCACAGGGCUUCAGCUGAUGACUAUGACAGUGACUCUGAUUCUGACAUGGAUUAUAAAUUGACCCCUUCAACUGGACGAUUAUGAAUAUGCUCCUUCAACCCUUCCGGCCCUCCCUGUGUAACCACCCCUUCCUGUACUCAGGAUCUAAACAG